rnacentral:rRNA from 1 species
CAGUCGCCGCGGGAAUACAGAGGGUGCAAGCGUUAAUCGGAAUUACUGGGCGUAAAGCGCGCGUAGGUGGUUUGUUAAGUUGGAUGUGAAAUCCCCGGGCUCAACCUGGGAACUGCAUCCAAAACUGGCAAGCUAGAGUAUGGUAGAGGGUGGUGGAAUUUCCUGUGUAGCGGUGAAAUGCGUAGAUAUAGGAAGGAACACCAGUGGCGAAGGCGACCACCUGGACUGAUACUGACGCUGAGGUACGAAAGCAUGGGGAGCAAACAGGAUUAGAUACCCCUGUAGUCCCUGUCUCUUAUAC